GCCACAGUGAUGAAGGGAAGAAGUAGCACGCUUCUGCGCCUGCAAAGAGAGCCUCCGGACGGUGCGAGGAGGACAGGGCGGAGCCUGUGAAUACAUCCUGGAGCAGCCUCCUGAAGCCGUUGGGCGCGUAGGGAUGUGUCGGGUCCGCCCGUUACAGCGGCAGGGUGUGUCAGCACCCGACGAGGCCAUGUCCGUGAGGGCAUGGCGAAUAUGAGGUGGUACCGCGAUUCUAAUCGCCCUCUGU
rnacentral:ncRNA from 1 species